rnacentral:rRNA from 1 species
UUUAUGGGCUUGGAGUGGAUGCCUCUACACCAGUGAAUAGGACGUGUAAAUACGAAAGGCUGUUUUGUUAGGUUUAUUCAAAACAGAUUUCCUACAGGAAACAAAAAAAAUAAAAGAAAACUGGAAAUGGAAACCUCCUUUACCAGUAUAAAAAUCAACAGAGAAACCGAUAGUAGUGGCGAACGAACUUGGUCUUAUUUUUUCUUUUUAUCAAUACGCUCUUAUGCGUUCUUUAUAGAAGCAUUAGAAUUCUAUAAAAAUUUUUUUUAUGUGUUCCUUGCGACGCUCUGCAGGUGUAAAAAAAAUUUUUUGGAAAAGGAAACCAAAGAGGGUGAUAGUCCCGUAUAGAUGCUUUUCUUUUUUCUUUCGAAAAAAUCUUUUGGUUCUAUAGAACCAAAAAGCCAAUAGGCUUUUUUAGAAAUAUAUUUUUAUAAGUCGUAAAAAUGUAUAAUUUGUUUCUUUUCUUAGAGCAAAGACUGGGGGAACCACCCUCCUAAUAAUAAAACGCUGUGUGAUAGAUAGUGCACGAGUAUCGUGAGAGAAAGGUGAAAAAGAAGGGCCACCGUUGUCCUGUGAAAUAGUACUGAAACUCCAAUCUUCUAGACAGCAGUUAUCUUUUAUUACUUUUCCAGUUUUUUAAAGAUUCUGUGUGCCUUUUGCAACAUGAGUGAGCGAGUCUUUGAUUAUUGCGAUGCUUAAGCAAGAAAGCGUAGGCA